CGACAGUGCGAUUCUAUUUGCUUGCUGCUCCUUUCCUCUCCGGCGCUUUCUUAUUCUUCGCAGAGAAUCGUAGAGAAUCGCAGAGAAUACGAAGGAGGGAAUGCAAGAAAAUUUUACAGAACAGUAUUGAAGAUAUGAGGCCUCUUCGCUUUCGAAGAAGGAGAAAAGGGGAGAUUGCAAAAAAGACUUUGUUGGGAAAAGAUUGGAAUUGAAUAGUCGUGUUACGGGGAAAUUUUGCACGUCGUCCAAGGAUCCUCCAUCUCUCAGAAAGCAGCGGGAGAUGCUCACGACCGGGUGACGAUUUGUGUGGAGGAUUCGGUAGAUAUUGUUUCACGUCGAAGAACUUCUUGAGCUCCUCUGGAUCGAAGAUGGGAUAUCUGUAAAACACCUAAAGAGACUACGUUGGAAAAAUAUUGAAAUUGAAACAUGUCCACAAUUCCAUCUACAGACGAAGAUAUGGACCGAAGGAUUAAGGACUUUCGAAACGGAUGAGAUCAGGACUUUCGAAACGGAUGAGAUCAGAUAUGUUCUGUUGCGGGCAGACUCCGCACAUGGCCAAAGGAUCCUCCAGCUCCCAGAGAUCUGGCGAAAGAUGCUCACGACUGGGUGACGAUUUGUAUGGAGGAUUCGGUAGAUAUUGUUUCACGUCGAAGAACUUCUUGAGCUCCUCUGGAUCGAAGAUGGGAUAUCUGUAAAACACCUAAAGAGACUACGUUGGAAAAAUAUUGAAAUUGGUGAGCUUUUUUAUCUAUUUCUAUAUUUCAUAUCUCUCCUUUAUGCCGUUGACAUAUAAAAAACAUAGUAUGUAUAAAGUUUUUGUAACGUUUUAAGUAAUGCCGUCAUAUUUGAUAAAAAUAUUCGAAAUUAUGCAACUUAUUCGAACUUAAUUACGGCUACCGAUAAUCGAUCAGAUAUCAGUUAUUGCAUUAUAUACUGCACAUAUACCAACUCGAAGUAAAGCGUUACAUAACGAAGGAAUACAAAUCAUAGAAAAAAAGCGCAAAAAUAAUUUACGUCUUAUUUUUCUUUUACAAUACAUCAAUUUUUAAUAUAAAAUGUGUGAACUACAUUUAAUAUAAUUCAAAUAUCUCCUGAAGAUCUUUAUUUUAUGCAGAAUCGUAAAAAAAAGUAUAGGAUAAGAGUGACUGUUUAAAUAAAAUUCUACAUUACAUUAUCGAAUAAAUGAAGCUGUAAAUUUCUUUAUUAUAUUUUAUUGACAAUGAAAUCAUGCGAAGACAUAUCGGUGAACAACAAUAAGUGAAAUUUCUAUAGUCAAUCUUUGAGGGAUAAAAACGCUGUGAAGUAGGAUACACUCACCCGUACCACCUUAAAUCGAGUACAUAGAAGCGUAAAUUGUUUUAUGUACAGACAGUUUGUAAAAUAAGAAAUAAAUGUAUUGCAAAUAAAUUU